AAGAGAACUGUGACUGGAUUCUGCCAGGGAGGAGCUGUGACCAGCAGGGCAGAGACAUGGGAGGGAAGAGCCGGCGUCACCUCCAGGCCUCCUGCGCCCGAGAGGAGGGAAGAGCCGGUGUCACCUCCAGGCCUCCUGCACCCGAGGGGAGGAAGAGCCGGCGUCACUGGCCACAGGAAAUGCACCUGGUGACUCUGCUGAGAUCUUGCUAAGAACUCCUAUCGCCAUGAUGAACACCUUGUCGUGGGGACGACUCUGUGAAAGGUUCCAGCUCUGUCUCCUGCCACAGCCUCUGAACUGGGAUGUGAACCUUUCGGUGUCUGGCCAUUAUCACCCUGAUGGUGAACUGGGCAGCCUUAAAUUUCAAUAUUGAAGGGUCAAUCACUGGAAACUAUAUAGACAAGUAGACGUCAGCAUAGGUAACAAUUGUGAACCUUUCGGUGUCUGGCCAUUAUCACCCUGAUGGUGAACUGGGCAGCCUUAAAUUUCAAUAUUGAAGGGUCAAUCGCUGGAAACUAUAUAGACAAGUAGACGUCAGC
rnacentral:lncRNA from 1 species